rnacentral:rRNA from 1 species
UACGUAGGUGGCAAGCGUUGUCCGGAUUUAUUGGGUUUAAAGGGUGCGUAGGCGGCCCUGUAAGUCAGUGCUGAAAUACCCCGGCUUAACCGGGGGGGUGGCAUUGAUACUGCAGGGCUUGAGUACAGAUGAGGUAGGCGGAAUUGACGGUGUAGCGGUGAAAUGCAUAGAUAUCGUCAAGAACACCGAUAGCGAAGGCAGCUUACUAAGCUGUAACUGACGCUGAGGCACGAAAGCGUGGGGAUCGAACAGG